rnacentral:piRNA from 1 species
AAUGAUGAAGUGGGACACUGAUC